GACGAACGCUGGCGGCGUGCUUAACACAUGCAAGUCGAACGAAGUGGCGAACGGGUGAGUAACUCGUAAUCAACCUGCCCUUCAGAGGGGUACAACAGUUGGAAACGACUGCUCAUACCGCAUCCUGCAGAAGGGUCUUGCGUCUGAUUAGCUAGUUGGAGGGGUAACGGCCCACCAAGGCGAGGAGCAGUAGCCGGUCUGAGAGGAUGAACGGCCACAUUGGGACUGGGAAAGGGCCCAGACGCCUACGGGAGGCAGCAGUGGGGAAGCUUCCGCAAUGGACGAAAGUCUGACGGAGCAACGCCGCGUUAGUGAUGACGGCCUUCGGGUUGUAAAGCUCUGUUAAUCGGGACGCGGUACCGGAAUAGAAAGCCACGGCUAACUACGUGCCAGCAGCCGCGGUAAUUC
rnacentral:rRNA from 1 species